AUACAUGCAAGUCGAGCGGACAGAAGGGAGCUUGCUCCCGGAUGUUAGCGGCGGACGGGUGAGUAACACGUGGGUAACCUGCCUGUAAGACUGGGAUAACUCCGGGAAACCGGAGCUAAUACCGGAUAGUUCCUUGAACCGCAUGGUUCAAGGAUGAAAGACGGUUUCGGCUGUCACUUACAGAUGGACCCGCGGCGCAUUAGCUAGUUGGUGGGGUAAUGGCUCACCAAGGCGACGAUGCGUAGCCGACCUGAGAGGGUGAUCGGCCACACUGGGACUGAGACACGGCCCAGACUCCUACGGGAGGCAGCAGUAGGGAAUCUUCCGCAAUGGACGAAAGUCUGACGGAGCAACGCCGCGUGAGUGAUGAAGGUUUUCGGAUCGUAAAGCUCUGUUGUUAGGGAAGAACAAGUGCGAGAGUAACUGCUCGCACCUUGACGGUACCUAACCAGAAAGCCACGGCUAACUACGUGCCAGCAGCCGCGGUAAUACGUAGGUGGCAAGCGUUGUCCGGAAUUAUUGGGCGUAAAGGGCUCGCAGGCGGUUUCUUAAGUCUGAUGUGAAAGCCCCCGGCUCAACCGGGGAGGGUCAUUGGAAACUGGGAAACUUGAGUGCAGAAGAGGAGAGUGGAAUUCCACGUGUAGCGGUGAAAUGCGUAGAGAUGUGGAGGAACACCAGUGGCGAAGGCGACUCUCUGGUCUGUAACUGACGCUGAGGAGCGAAAGCGUGGGGAGCGAACAGGAUUAGAUACCCUGGUAGUCCACGCCGUAAACGAUGAGUGCUAAGUGUUAGGGGGUUUCCGCCCCUUAGUGCUGCAGCUAACGCAUUAAGCACUCCGCCUGGGGAGUACGGUCGCAAGACUGAAACUCAAAGGAAUUGACGGGGGCCCGCACAAGCGGUGGAGCAUGUGGUUUAAUUCGAAGCAACGCGAAGAACCUUACCAGGUCUUGACAUCCUCUGACAACCCUAGAGAUAGGGCUUUCCCUUCGGGGACAGAGUGACAGGUGGUGCAUGGUUGUCGUCAGCUCGUGUCGUGAGAUGUUGGGUUAAGUCCCGCAACGAGCGCAACCCUUGAUCUUAGUUGCCAGCAUUUAGUUGGGCACUCUAAGGUGACUGCCGGUGACAACCGGAGGAAGGUGGGGAUGACGUCAAAUCAUCAUGCCCCUUAUGACCUGGGCUACCGUGCUAAUGGAA
rnacentral:rRNA from 1 species